UACACCCCCCAGCAGCGUAGAAGGGCUCCUUUGUACCCCUGAUCUCAGCAGUGUUUACUGGUUUUUGUAUUCUUGACAACAGCCCCUCUGACUGGGGUGAGAUGGAAUCUCAGUGUAGUUUUGACUCCCACUUCCUGAGCAGCUAAAGUUCUUUUCACAUUUUAGAUCUUCAUCUUCUGUUAAGCGAAAUAAGCCAGAAUCAAAAAGGUGUCACACGUUUCCAUUCAUAUGUGGGAUCAAAGCGAGAGGAGCAUGAAAGCAGAGUGGACACUGUCGCUGCACAAGAGGACACUUUCACGGGGCUGUUUUUACUCAACGCCAACCCACUCAGGGUCCAGAAGACACGGACCGACACGCAGCAGGCAGUGCAGAGCCCGCAGGAGGCCACCAGCGCAGGGAUCGGGCGCUGCGAGCCCUGGGGGGCGGAGGCUGGCCACCGAGUCUGGCACACCCCUGGGUGCCAGUCCCUGGACCCAGGCGCAAGCCCUGGACGCCAGCCAAGGAGCCGGGUGGAGGGGCAACGCGAAAGUACGCAUGCGCAGGGCGAGCUCCAGCCCAGGCCCGCAAAGAUUGCGUUUCCCAUAAGACCCCGCAGGCAUCCUCACGCAAGUCCUGCUGAGAAAGCGGUUGAUUUUUGAAGACUUGACGUCGUCCUUGUCAUUGUUUUAACUUUCCUGUAGGGCUCAGGGUGAAUGAGUGAAACCCGCUUGAAGGCCUAAGCAUUUUUUUUUGAGACCGGGUCUCGCUAUGCAGAGGCUGGCCUUGAGCUCACUU